UAAUCCCUGCGCUGUUCGUGGACUGGCAAGAAGCAUUUUUGAGCCAACACUUAUAUAAAGGGCCCAAUGCCACUGAGCCAUGGGGGCGGCGCCGCACGCGGAUGCCCGAACCGGCCUCACGCCGGGCCCACCUGUUUCGACAGGUUCAAAACACGCUUGCCGCACGGCAGAGGCGGGGAUCUU
rnacentral:other from 1 species